rnacentral:lncRNA from 1 species
UCGUCAUUAUAAUGUUGAACAUAUUCGAAAUGAAAUCUCUAUGACAUGGAGAACACUCAUGCCUAAAGUAUUUAUCCUCAUUUUGACUAGUAUAUUUCUAGCAAGAAGGAAACAAUGAUAUGCCUGGUGACUAUAGUGAUAGUACCAUGAUAAGUGCUUGAUAGUGGAAAGCUGUUAAUAUCAGUGUAAAGUAGCAUUACUUUCACAUAUUUAUUAAUCUAGUGGAUACUAGUUGUUGUCACUAUUCAUUAUAUUAAAAUGCUGAUCUGAUAGUAAGCUAAAACAUGAUAGUUGAGACAUGUUGGGCUGUGAAUCAUGCUUGUUUGCCAUCGUGCUCAUUCGCACACGCUUGUGAGGGUCGCUCCCUAUAAGCUGGCACUCCGGAGUUGGCCUACGCGACAGUUGCUCGCCCGUGCGGGAUUGGGUGCCGACGUGGAUUGCCGUGGGGAGUGUUUACUACCACGGGGCCACUAGGCGCGGCGCAAGCUGGACUACCUUGGGUAGGUCCCUGUGAAUGAAAGGAAAACUCUAUUGAGGUGAAUGUACUAAAUGACAAAGGACAGUAAUGAAUGCUAUUAAUUUAAGUGUACAGUAGUCACUUUCAUGCUCGUGCUUAUAUUCAUGUCCAUAUUCAUGAUUACAGAAAUUGCUAUAUCUCUUGUAUGCAAGUGAUUCAUUACUGUAGAAAGCUAUUACAUGUUGAUUACAUGCUUAUUACUUAUUAGCAUCAUGUUUAUAAAUUAUGCAAUUAUCGUUAUUGCUUUCAAUUAGUACAUCAUGAGCCUAGUGGUGUCAUUCGCCGAGGCUGGCGGCUUACCCACUGGGAACUAUUGUUUAUAGUUCUCACGCCCUUUUGGUGGUUGUUUUUACAGAGCCUGUUACAGGAGAGGCUAGGGAUCGUGGCAAGGGAGUCGCGCCUAGCUAGGGACUACUAGGAGCGUGCUAGUCGAUCACCUUGCUACUCGGGCUACGGCCGAGGGUGAUGUCCCUACAUAUAGAGAGACCACCAUUGUACCUAUUUUUUUGUUUACCCCAUGAUGUAUAUUUACUCUUUGGACAGACUCUAUAGUUGUGAUACUCUCUCUUUAGUUGAGAUUUUGGAUUGUAUACUCUUUAUUCCUUUACUGAUAGUAUAUCGACUUGUAUUUUGCUCUGAUAUCAGAAUAGGAUCUUACUAUACUUUCCUCCUAUCGACUUGUUUUCUUGUAGACGCCUUAUAUACUGCAGGUGUAUGGCGGGUCUGCGCACGUGUCGGAUAUGCUUCCGCUGGUACCCGGGCGUGACAGUCUCCAAGACGCUACACGCGUAGGACUGCCCCAGCACCGACUCCUGAGGUGCCCGAGCAGGAGGAACCGAGCGUGAUCGAUCGGUUGCAAGCGCAAAUGACCGCGCUGACCAGCGUGGUGCAGCGCCAGGAGACCAGAUUCGAGCGGCUCCAGGAUCUAUUGGAGCAGCAGAUCGCGGCGGCGGCUGCGACGGCAAAUGAAGGCGGUGGUCCGCCCGCACCCCCGACUCACGUACCUAGAGUGGCAGAGGGUGAGGGCAUAGCGGUGGUUCCGGUGACGGCACGCCCACCGCCAGCGAUCGCACCACAGGCGGCAUCGGGAUUGGCUACACCCGAUGUGACGGCCGAAGACGUGGAGGGAGAGCGCGCAUUGGCGGCUCUUAUCAAGUUCAACAAGUUCCAUCCGCCAACUUUUGAGGGCGAGAAGGUGGAACCGGAGAUGGUCGAGUCUUGGAUCGACUCGAUGGAAACCCUCUUCGACGACUUGCGUACCUUGGAGAGGGACAAGGUGUAUCUCGCCACCCAUUGCUUGGAAAAGGCGGUGAAGGUUUGGUGGAAGCGCGUUAGACGGGAUCGGCUUCCUGGUCUUCCGCCGAUGCUGUGGGAAGAAUUCAAGCGGGAGAUGUUCGCCAACUAUUUCCCCGACACACUGAAGCGGAAGCUCAAGGAGAAAUUCCGCAAGCUAGAGCAAGGGGACCGCUCAGUGGCGGAGUAUGAACAAGAAUUCUCCCAUAUUAUCGACUGUGUCCCGGAUGUUGUGAAGGAUGACCGGGACCGGGCCGAGUGGCGAGGACUUCGGCCAGGGAUCUACAAGGCCGUGUAGAUACUCAAGCUUACGACCUUUGCGGAGGUCUUCGAUCGAGCCCUAUGGGCAGAGCACGGAGAUGCCCACGUGCAGGAGAAGCGUGAGGCGUUGGCCGAGUCUAAGGACAAGGGCAAGAAACGCCAAGGCGGCGGUAGUUCGGGAGGACAGACACGUUACAAGAAACCCCCGAAGUAUCCGCGCACUCAACAGAAGGGUGGUGGAGUGCAGCGAUGCAUGAUAUGCGGUAGAGACCAUCCGGUCUCGCGCUGUGAACAAGGUUGAGGCAAGUGCUACAAGUGUGGGCAACCGGGGCACUUCAUUCGAGAAUGCCCGGGAGGAGGAGCCUCACCUGCCCCCUCAACUGCAUCGGCGCCGGCGAUUCCGGCUCACUAUGGAGGAGCUCCACCGACGGCCGCGUCGACUGGACGCACGUUGACGCCGCGUCAACCUGAAGUGGCGCGAUCAGCCCCGAGCGGAUGGGUGUUCGCCGCUCAGGUCCAAGCUUAGGAACCUGCGGAGGCGGAGGAGCAUCACCUUGUGGCAGGUAUGGUUUUGAUUAACGGAGUUUGCUCCAGGGCCUUAUUUGAUACAGGAGCCACACAUUCAUUCAUAAGUAGAUCAUUUGCACGCAUGCAUGGCAUACAUAUAGAGGCGAGUGACAAGUGGCGAGUGGAGGGCCCUGGGUCGACGUUUAACACUUACUCGGAGUGUGCGUCGUGUCCCGUACAAAUAGGCGACUGGAUUAUGCCUAUCCGGACACUGGAACUCACAAAGCUUGAGGCUUACGAUGUCAUUCUGGGUAUGGACUUGCUCUCGAAGUAUCACGCAACGAUCGACUGCAAGAGCAGGGUGAUCACAUUCCGUGAGCCAGGACAAGAGGAGUUUACAUAUCGAGCUUCCCAAAGCUCGUGCUUCGUCGCGACGGUGUCGGCGACAAGAGCAAGGAAAUUAGUAAACAGCGGUUGCACGGCAUUCUUGGCAACUGUUGUGGAAGUGGAGCGAGUAGCUCCAACGUUAGAGGAGCUAUCGGUUGUGCGGGAGUUCCCGGAUGUAUUUUCCACGGAGUUGCCAGGGAUACCACCUGAUCGGGAGAUCGAGUUCGUUAUAGACUUGGUUCCCGGUACCGCACCGAUUUCGAAGGCUCCGUACCGAAUGGUACCGGCGGAAUUGAAGGAGUUGAGGAGUCAAUUGCAAGACCUUCUUGACAAGAAAUUUAUCCGGCCAAGUGUGUCUCCGUGGGGAGCCCCGGUGUUGUUUGUGCGGAAGAAGGAUGGAUCGUUCUGACUCUGCGUGGACUAUCGAGAAUUGAACAGAGUCACGAUCAAGAACAAGUACGCACUACCCCAAAUCGACGACUUGUUCGAUCAGUUGCAGGGGUCGUGUGUGUACUCAAAGAUAGAUUUGCAAUCUGGCUAUCACCAACUGAGAAUCAAGCCGGAGGAUGUGCAGAAAACUGCGUUUCGCACACGGUAUGGACACUACGAAUUCACCGUCAUGCCGUUUGGACUCACGAAUGCUCCAGCGGCGUUCAUGGAUUUAAUGAACCGUGUCUUCAGGAGGUUUUUGGAUCGAUUUGUCGUGGUCUUCAUAGACGACAUAUUGGUCUAUUCUCGUAGUGACGAGGAACAUGCUGAGCAUUUAAGGAUAGUGCUUCAAGUCCUUCAGGAGGAGAAGCUAUAUGCUAAGCUGAAGAAGUGUGACUUCUGGCUCCGCGAGGUUGCCUUCUUAGGGCAUGUGAUUUCCGCAGGUGGAGUUUCUGUAGACCCGAGGAAAGUUGACGCAAUCAAGGAUUGGCCGCGCCCGACGAAUGUCACGGAGGUUCAAAGCUUCGUGGGCUUGGCGGGCUACUAUAGGCGGUUUGUGGAAGGCUUUUCCAAAAUAGUGAUUCCACUUACCCGCCUGACUCAGAAAGGCACCAAGUUUGUUUGGAGCGAAGAAUGUGACCGGAGUUUCAAAGAGUUGAAGCAAAGACUGACUUCGACUCCGGUGCUCACUCUACCGGUGCAGGGCGAAGACUUCGUGGUCUACAGUGAUGCCUCCUAUCUUGGGUUGGGGUGUGUAUUGAUGCAAAGCGGGAAGGUGAUCGCUUAUGCAUCCCGUCAGCUGAAGAGCUAUGAAAGGAACUACCCCAUCCAUGAUUUGGAGCUAGUAGCGGUGAUUUUCGCCUUGAAGCUGUGGGGGCACUAUUUAUAUGGUGCCCAUUGCGAGAUCUAUACCGACCACAAGAGCUUGAAGUACCUGUUUACACAGAAGGAGCUCAAUAUGCGGCAACGGCGGUGGUUGGAGCUGUUAAAGGACUAUGAUGUUGAUAUCCUCUACCACCCCGGAAAGGCAAAUGUGGUUGCGGAUGCACUAAGUAGGAAGUCGGCGAAAAAUCUCGCCUUUGAUGUUACCCAGCAAACACCUCUGUGGCUGGAUAUGGAGCGAUUGGACCUUGAAGUGGUCGCUCCCGAGGUCCCGACUCAGUUGAUGGCACUCGUUGUCCAACCGACCUUGUUGGAGAGGAUUAAAGAUCUGCAACCCGCAGACCCAGAACUCCAAAAGGUGCGGCGAAACAUCGAGAAAAGGCGUGGCGGCGAUUUCAAGGUGGACGCCAAUGGUACGCUUCGGUUUCGAAACCGAUGGUGUGUGCUGAAAGAUGGAGAGCUUCGUGAAUUAAUUCUGCAAGAAGCACACCGAUCUCCAUAUGCCGAUCACCCGGGCGGAACCAAGAUGUAUCAAGGACUAAGAAUCCAUUAUUGGUGGCCGGAAAUGAAAGGUGAUAUUGGACGCUUUGUGGCAAAGUGCCUAACAUGCCAAUAGGUAAAGGCCGAGCGUCGAUUUCCAGCAGGAAAGCUUCAAAGCCUACCAAUCCCCGUAUGGAAGUGGGAGGACAUAUCGAUGGACUUCGUGGUCGGUUUGCCUCGCUCAACGGGUAGCCACGAUGCAAUUUGGGUAAUUGUGGACCGAUUGACAAAGUUGGCUCACUUCUUGCCGGUCCACACCACGUGGUCGGGCGACAAGUUAGCGCAGGUAUACCUUGAUGAGAUAGUGAGACUGCAUGGGGUGCCGAAAUCGAUCGUGUCGGAUCGUGACCCCCGGUUCACUUCACAUUUCUGGAAGAGCCUGCAGGAAGCCCUUGGCACACGACUCGAUUUUAGCACCGCAUUUCAUCCUCAGACCGAUGGGCAAACAGAAAGAACUAUUCAAACUCUGGAGGACAUGUUGCGAGCGUGUGUCAUUGACUAUAAGGGAAGUUGGUGUGACCAUCUAUCUAUGGCCGAGUUCGCCUACAACAACAGUUAUCAUGCUAGUGUGGAGAUGGCACCGUUCGAGGCUCUCUAUGGGCGGACGUGUCAAUCUCCUAUACACUGGAGCGAUGUUGGCGAGCAUGCUGAGUUCGGCCCAGAUGUGUUGCGAGAAGCGGAAGAGAAAGUCCGCCUUGCUCGCAAGAGAUUGCUCACGGCGCAGUCGAGACAGCAAAGUUAUGCAGAUAGGCGCCGUCGAGAUAUAGAGUUCGCGGUAGGUGACCGCGUAUUCUUGAAGGUUUCACCAAUGCGGGGUGUGAAGCGGUUUGGAGUACGGGGAAAGCUGAGUCCCCGGUACAUUGGGCCAUAUGAGAUAUUGGAGCGAGUCGGCACGGUGGCGUAUCGACUUGCUUUGCCGCCGAAACUUGCGGAUGUGCACAAUGUGUUUCAUGUCUCCAAUCUCCGCAAGUACAUUCACGACCCCGAGCACGCAAUGCUAUAUGAACCGCCGGAACUUCAAGAAGACUUGAGCUAUGAAGAGUUUCCGGUAGGGAUUAUCGCCCGAGAGGUGCGAAAGUUGAGGAAUCGAGAAAUCCCCUAUGUGAAGGUUAGGUGGAGCAAUCAUGAUGAUCGCGAAGCCACCUGGGAACUCGAGGAUCUGAUGAGAAAACACCAUCCUCAUCUAUUUGAGGAGUAAGGUAUGAGUUUAAAUAAAAGUUAGGAAAAUUGUUCGUUUCGAGGACGAAACUCCUUUUAAGGAGGGGAGGAUGUAAGGAGGUGAAUUCUCGAAAACCGAGGAUUGUACUUCGCCCAGGAUCGACUACCUGUCGAGAGUGUACCCUUUGUGGAAGUUGGAGAUGUCCAAAACACAAAAAGCGCUUUGGAGUUGAGUCCGCGAGAACAAAUAGGCAAAAUCUGGACUCAGCAGAUUUUUGCUCUCGGGGACCGGUCCCUGGAGGGAAGGACCGGUCCCCGUAUCUGAUGGUCGCGGGGGAGGUCGAUGCGUAGGUCCCUGGCUGAGGGGAACGGUCCCCGUGCGCGACACCCGCGGGAAAAAGCCAAAAUUUGGCUAAGUCCUGAAGGUUCCCCGUUCAGGAACCGGUCUCUUAGGAGAGACCGGUCUCCCAGGGACCGGUCCCUCAGGUGAGGACCGGUUCUCGAACGUGAAAAGUCCCCAGACUGCAGGGAGAGCUCUCGGGGACCGGUCUCCCUGACCAGGGACCGGUCCCUCUGGGCGAAAACUGCCCAGUGAGGGCUGUGCAAUGGAGGAAAAGUUGAGGGGUCUAAAUGCAAAAUGGCCUUUAUUAGAGUGGGCUGGGCCCUCUCUCUCCCUCACACCCUCUCAUUCUCUCUCUUUCUCACACUCUCUCUUGCUCCUUCUCUCUCUCUCUAGGAAAGAAAGAACAAAAGAGAAGGGGAAGAAGAAAGAGAAGAAGAAGAAGGAGGAGAACAAGAUAGAGAAGGCUUGGACCAUCUUCCUCUCUUUCUCUCCUCUCUGUUGGUGUAGCUCAAGAGGUAAGCUACAAACCCUAGCUUGUAGAACUUAGGGUUUUGGGUUUUUAUGCUUUGGAAUGGGUCAAAUGGACCCUAAGCAUGCUUCUAAAUAGAUCAAUCCCAAGAAUCUAGGGAUUUAUUGGGUGGUUUGCUAUAUGUGCAAACCUAGGGCUCCAAAAUGGGGUUUUUGUGAAAGUAUGGGAUUGAUCUCAUUUGAAGCCUUGGAAACCCUAUUGUUAGGUCACAAAACGUGGGGGCGAAGUCGGUUUUAGCAUUCGGCGAGCCGGCGUGAAGUUCUCGGCAAAAUAGGGCCGGGAUAGUGUGGAAUUAGGCAAGGAAGGCUAAAGCCUUUUCGUAAAGUUCGCCGAGAAGCUUUUCCCAAGCCUCUACAUCGAUUAAAGAUGGGGGGUGCCAUCCCGAAGCUUUCGGACUCCUUUCUAUAUCUUAGAUUGUAUUUUAACCUCAUCUCUUCAUGUUGCAUUAUAGGAUUGCAUAGUAGCUCCAUUCCUUAUGCUUUCUAAUUGAUAACCUAGUGUACUUGGAACGCUUGGUAAAAUAGAUAGGUGAGGAUUGGGUCGGAACGUGGAUCCUAUGAUGCGAAAGAUAGAGAUGAACCCGAUGGGGGUGUUGAUGACAUAGAAAGUAGUGUUAUUGUUGCAGAACAAACGAGUGGCAUCCAAACAUUGAAUGAUGACGAGUGGCAUUAAUGUAGUGUAAAUAACACUAGAGGUCGAUGGACCUAGGGAUAGGCAGAUCCCUUAGAAAAUGCCUUGUGAACAAUGAAUUUUGAAAAGCUAAAUAGCAUUGCAUGAAUGUCGGGAACAAAUGAUUCCGCGAGAGAUGUUGACCCUAGUUGUAGGGCAUCCUCACUUGGAGAGGAUUUGAUUGGGUUGUUGACCCUAGUUGUAGGGCAUCCUCACUUGGAGAGGAUUUGAUUGGGUUGUUGACCCUAGUUGUAGGGUAUCCUCACUUGGAGAGGAUAGAUCUAGCUCACAGUCUGCUUUUGGGGUGGUAUAGCCAUCCAAUCCCCACAUGGAGGGGAUUGUCGUCGAGUACUCCGGAGUGUCGCGCGACUAGGACCACUUGGAGGUCCGGACCACAUGGAGGUCCGCAGACGGUCCCGGGCUUGGGUGCACUUGGAGCUCCCUCCCCACUUUGGGAUUGAAAGGUGAGUUAUUGGCGAGCCCUAGGGCCUCGCCACAGAUUGGGUAAAUGGAAAGGUUAAAGGUUUAUUAAUGUCAUUGAACAUUGCUAUUCGAACAUGGAUCGAAUUUGUUAGCAUGAUAGCAAACCUUUAUUAUAUGAUGCAUGCAUUCAUAUUCAUGAUUAUGGGCAUAGUAGCAUAGUUUUCCUACUACUGCAUUUACAGCUUUCAGAUACAUAUCUAUCUAUCUAUCUGUUGUUACUUGUGCCCACUUGGACCUAGUGGGGAGAUCGGCAGAGUCGGCGGCCGAGCCCACUGGGAACUAUGGAAGAUAGUUCUCACCCCACUCUAUUUCCAGUGGUAGGUUCAGGGCUGCAGAGAGAGGACCGCGGCAUAAGCAUCGUGCCCGACCAGUGAGACCGUGGUUGUCACGCCCCGGGACCGAUACCAAUUUGGGCCGGUCUGAGCACGUCAAACAGACGCCGAACGGACAGAGUUUUCCCUGUCCGCCCAAGGCUCAUCAUAUGUAAAUUUUCAAACAAGAAGUGCACUAGCAGAAACAUACGAAUACGGCUUACACGAGGGUAAGCAAUAGCCACGAGUGAAAGAUAAGAAAACUAGCAUUCAUUUGUACUAUGAUUCAAUUUAGAUCAUAUACAUUGCAUUCAUCUUGUACACUUUCGAAUUCCUUACAUUUCAUUGCAUCAUUUCAUCAUUUCUUUCUUAUAUCACAUUUACCUCAAAAGAGUGCUUUACAUUCUCUUCUUUCUUUGCUUAAUACAUCAACAUUCUAAAUUAUCAAAUACAAAAGAUGAUAAAAGGGAAUGCUACUACAAAAUGUAGACCCAACUUUGGUGGCCUCUCACUAAGGCGCGAUACCUUUACCUCGGUCGCUCGCCGGCUCGCUCGGUCCCGGCUCUGUGGAAAUAGUGGGGUGAGAACUACAACAAAGUUCCCAGUGGGUUCGGCCUCAACUUCACCGACUUUCCCACUAGGACUAACUCAGGCAUAAUAGAAGGGAAAAGCUACAUAUAGUAACCAAUGUAUAACAUGAUGCUAAUAUGCCUGAACAAUAAGCAGGAAAUAUGCUCAACAUUAACAUAUGCAGAUUAUGCAAGUUCUUUUGUUCUUUACACUUUACACUUUGUCUUUAUUCUUUGUUCUUUGGUUUUUUGUUCUUUGCUCUUGUUCAUUAAUCUCAAGCUAACGCUGUGGGGUUUCGCCACAAUUAACUGCUUCACCAUUACAGUCCAUCAUUCCCGCGAGCCCCUCAGCUUCCUCCGCGCUAAGACCGUCCUCGGGUUACUCCAACCCGGGAUGCAAAAACUCCGAGUCGCAUCGCCCGAAGGGACGAUAUUCGCUCGAGCACGAACUCAUAGCAGUAUGAUUCGAAUCCUUAACUCAAAAGGAUUGUAUGUUCAAUCUGAACUUUACAGCCUAACUUAGUGUUCUUUACAAUCACUGUUAUGUUGGCCAACAACCUAGCAAUCAUCAUGUUCUCUAGCUUUUCUUUUACGUUUUGCUAACUCUAGCAAUCAUUGUUUCUUAACUAUUUCUUACCUUUUGGCUAUCUUAGCAUUCAUGAUCUUACCCCCCACUUUGUUUUUCUUUAGUCACUUACGAAUUAUUUUUACAUCACAUUAAUCUUUGGCCUCACACAUACCUCUAGGUGUCCACUUUAGUUUACAUUAUCCUAAUGCCUAGCUGCGAUCUGAAUGUCUUAUUGUGUCUACCUGUUUUUUCGGCUCUCGCUUUUGGUACUUACACAUUUCUCUCAUAACCAUACAUAAUAGGCGUUUAGACACUUCAUUAAGGUUCUAACCAUCUCAUCAUGGCAUUGUACUCACAAUCCAUGCCUAACACAAUUUUUUCUCAUUACAUUACCCUAAAAUGCAUGCAACAAUGUAUAAACAUAUGCUCAAUUGAAUGACACAUUAGGCAUAGAGGGAAGUUCAACGAGUUUGAAAAGCACCACCCACCUCGUAGGCUCUCAAAGGUGCUUCGAUUAUUUUCUUGAGAUUUUUAGGCUUUUCGUUCCUUACCUGCGGCAAAACGAAGCCCUAUUAGGCCAUUUUGCCCAUAACUUUACUUUGGCUUUUCGUAACGCUAAUCCGAGCGCACCCACGUGUCGAAAAUACCCCCAAUUAGGUUUCUAGAGGGUCAAUUUCACUUAGAAAUCUCCUUGAGCAAAAGCCCCAAUUUGGGUGCCCUAGCUCCAUUGCAUACAUCAAACCUAGGGUUUGAUCUCAUUGGGAAGCAAAAGAAGCUUCAUGGUACUCUAAAAAGUCCAUUCUAACCAUUACUAGCUCAAUCAAAACCCUAGUUUGGGUUUCACCAUGAGAGGUGUUGAAGCUCACUUUCAAGCUUCACCUCUAUACCAAACCAUAGUUUUGAUCUCAAAAGAAGCAAAAAGAAAGCUUCAAAGACUCUAAAUACUCCAUUAAAACUAUUUCUAGAUUAAUCCAAACCCUAGUUUGGAAUUUAGCAUGAGAAGGGGCAAAGCUUACCUCUAAGCUUGCUCCUUUUCCAAGCUAGAGAAGGAGAGGAGAGGUUUUCUUCUUCUCCUUGUCUUCUUUUUCACUUUCUUCUUCUUCUUUUUCCUUCUUUUCCUUCUCUUCUUCUCCUCCUUCUUGUCUUCUAGAGAGAGAAAGAGAUAUGAGAAUGUGAGAGGGAGUGGAAUGAGAGAAACAUCUCAUUUUCCCCCAUACUAUACUCUAUAGGUUGCAAAAUUGCUAUUAAACCCCUCAACUUUUACUCUUUGAUGCUGCAUGGACUGGGCAGUUCGCGCACGCGAGGACCGGUCUCUCCAUCAGGGACCGGUUCCCGAAGCUCGUCCCAGCGCAGCCAGAGCUGCCUCGCGCGAUGCGACCGGUCUCUCUCUGGGGGGACCGGUCUCUUGGGGACCGGUCUCUCAGGGAGGGACCGGUUCCCGAGAGCUAGUUCUCAGGGACUUAGCCGAUUUUUGGCUUUUCUCAAUUCUUGCACGUUCGGGGACCGGUCUCUCCCACCAGGGAUCGGUCCCCGAGAGCUCAAAAACUGCAGUUUGCAGGUUUUUGAUUCCUUAGCUCUCGAAAACCUUUCACAACGCACUUUUACUCAUUUUAACACCUUCGGACUUUUCGAAGUGUACCGUCCUCGCACUUUGGUCAAUUUGACUAAAGUUCGAUAUUUACUUUCCGAAUUUUCGGUAUAUUACAGUGGUAGUAUAGUAGCUUUCCUUUUUGCAUUAGUCACCUAUGUAUUGAGAGAGAGAUUUAUUGUAGGUGAGGAUCUGGAGAGCUAUGUAUUUUGGAGAUGAAAAAUGUACUCAUUUAAAGAAAAUGAUGUAAAUGAAAAUGAUGGAACUAAUGUAUUAGUUAGCAAGGUACUUUCUUUAUUUCACAUGCCUUAUCUUGUGGAUCGCUUGCUCUUUGUAUUGUUGGCACUGUUUGUGCCCUUGUGAAUGUGUACGUUUAGAAUUUGAUUUCCUGGGUAAAUUCUUGUACACAUUCUUGUUGUUGAGCCUUGGGCGGACAGGGGAGGUGCUGUCCGUUCGGCGGCCCGCCGCCGCGGCCGAACCGUGCCAAAUUGGUAGUGGUUUCGGGGCGGGGCGUGACAAUAGUAGAGGUCCCAACGUUGAUUAUAUAUCAUGAUUGUGCAGCAGAGGCACAUUGACCCUAGUAGACAGGGUAUCCUCUUGAGAGGAUUGGAUCAUACUCACUAGUCUAUUUUGCUUGUCGGUGGUCGCUCCACCGAGGCACGAGUCUCCUGAGUACUUCACUAGGGGCAGAUGUAGUUGUCCCGCAAACGGUCUCGGUGUGCGAGUGCAGCUUCUCCUCACCUAUGAGAUUGAGAGUAAGUCGAUGGUUUAACUUUCGGGUUAACCAAGUGGAUUGGGUAAUAAACAUGAAAUGCAUAGUAGACUUGCAUUAUUACCUUGAGUAGAUAUAGUGUAUAUUGUAGAUUACAUUGCUAUAUAUCUUUAUAUACUCAUGACAUGAUACUAGCAUGAUAGUAGUUGUUGCAUACAUGAUUAUCAUUGAUGGCAUGAUAGAGUAGUUGCAGUUCAUUUUAUAUAUAUCUAUCUAUCUCUCUAUUCGUGCCAGCUUAGACCUAGUGGGAAAACCGGCGGCGUCGAUGGCCGAACCCACUGGAAACUAUAUUUAUAUAGUUCUCACCCUAUGUGGUUUUGAGGUACAGGUACACACAGGGGGGAGCCGAGCGAGGAUCGCGGCAAGGGCAUAGCGCCCUAAGUGAGCCUAGUUAGUAGCUUUUCCUUUAUGCAUUAGAGUACCCUCGUGUACUAGAUGAUGUUUUGGAUAGUCAUUGGAGAGCUACUUGUAUUUUGAGGAAAACAUGUAUUUACAUUUUGGAAGAUGAAAAUGUAAUAUAUUCAAAUGAUGUAAAGGUUGAAUGGUUGUAAUAGUUAGACUAUCUCUCUUUAUACACUUGUACAUUCACUUGUGGUUCUUCCUCUUAGUUAUAGUGCACUUGUGUGCAUCGUAUCGAUCAUGUAUGUUAUUUAAGCAUUCCCUGGGCGCUUAACUGUACAUGAUCUGGUUGCUUGGCCUUGGGCGGACAGGAGAGGUGCUGUCCGUUCGGCGGUCCGUCCGGCGCGCCCGAACCGUGCCAAUUGGUAGUGGAUUCGGGGUGGGGCGUGAAAUAAACUCAGCAAACAACUGAGUUGUAUCUUAGUAAGGUGAGUAAUACCAUUUCUCUCUCUAGUUUGGUACUAGUAGUGGAUUUAAGCUUGGUUUCUUGCUUCCUUGUUACCAGCUGAUGUGAGGGAAGUUAUAGCAGCUAUAGAAGCAGAGUUUUGUGGUGGUUCUUCAACUCUAAUCCAGGGGAAAAGCUGGAUUGAAGCUUUGAGAAGGUGAUUAGCUAACUACUUGUCUUAUGUUGAUGCUAUAAUAGGUGUAUUCGUGAAGUUGUCACGCCCCGUGCCCCACCUAUUUGGUUGAGUUCGGGUACGCCGAAAGACUGCCGAACGAAUAGAGUUUUUCCUGUACGUCCUAGGUGUCGCAAUCAAUACAAUACAAGGGUUCCAACCAUGAACAGUAUUCAACAUACAGAUUGCAUAAGGAAGUAUCAAAAACAUAAACAACUAACUAUUACAAGCAUUCACAUACAUGCUUUUACACUUCAAUUACAUAUUUCAUUUAACUUCCAAAAUACAAUCUAAGUUAUUACAAGUUUAUUACAACUUUUACUUCUUCCUCCCCUCUAACCCUAGGCUAUGCCGACUCGGGGUAUCUUUAUCUCUGGUCUCUGGGUAGGGCGCUAUCUACGGAGCUAUGCCCUUGCCUCGCGCCACCGCGUUGCUCACGUGUAAACCUGUAACACCCCAAAACAACGUGGGGUGAGAACCAACUCCAUGAUUCCCAGUGGGUACGGCCACCCAAGGAAAAAAGCUCGACCAAUAAGUCCAAGGAGGCACUGCAAUCAUGUUAGUCCAAAAACAUCUAUAGAUAUAUAUAUCAUCAUGUUAUUAUGCAACUAACAGAUAACAUGCCUCGCAAUAUGCAAUAUGAAUAUAUGCAAUCAACUAGUAAAUCUAUUAAUUCUACGUUCAACUUUGCUAUCUUUAGCUCAUAUCAUUCAUCUCUAAGGUUUCUACUACCUUAGGUUCACGAUUCAAGUUUCACUUGCUCCUAAGGUUUCUAUUCCCUUAGCUCAUGCCAUCUAUCUCUAGCUUUCAAGGUUUCCACUACCUCAUCUAAGCUAUCCACCCAACUCGGCCUCGAAGUCAAUCAUCCACAGAUAAUCCACGCAUUGGCUGCACCUCAGCCUACCGCCCUCCAUGACUUAGCCUUAUAGUGGCGAAAUCGUCGCACACGCUGAAUAGGCUCAAGUCACCUGGCGGCCUAAUUCACAAUCGGCUUAACCAUCUGGCGGCGAAAUCGUCGCACACGCCCAACCAUGGUUCAAGCCUCCGGGUGGCGAACACUGUACACACACCCAAUCCACCUUGGUAUCAAUCUCGGCGGCGAAUCGUCGCACACGCCCUAUGUAACAUACCGAAAUCUCGGUAAUUAAAUUCGAAUCUUGGUCAAAUGGACCAAAGUACGAGGUGGUACACUGUAAUGCACUGGAUCUUGCAAAUCGCAAGAUUCGAGUGUUUGAUCUGUGUUUGGAGCUUUUUCACAGUUUUUGGAGGGUCGUUGAUAGUGUUCCGACCCCUGGCACGCAUCCCGAGGAUGUUGGAGUGAGACUUGGCACCAAAAUUCUAAAAUCGAAAUUUUUGGACAGUUCUCGGGUAGCCUGCAGCAGAGCUUGUACCGGAACAAGACUGAUCUUGUACCGGUACAAGGUUGAUGGUUGUACCGGUACAGCCAUCGGGCUUAUACCGGUACAGAGCUGCAGACCCCGCGACCCGAGCCUCGGGUUUGCACUUUCGUGGGCCUUGUACCGGUACAAGAGCCCGUGUACCGGUACAAGAAGGCAGUUUUCGUGCAGUUUGGUCUGCAGGGGGUUUUUCGCGUUUGUAGCCUUCUAUUAGUGCACCCCACGCCCCUUAGGGCCUCCCAUGUGCAGAGACCAGCAGGAGUUGAGGUAGGAGGAGCUCUCUCUCCCUUCCUUUGCAUUUUUUUUUACUCAUUUUCUUGGUUUUUAUUGGGUUUUCUCUCCUCUAUUUGCAUCUUGGUGGCUUCUCCACCAUUGUUGAUGGCUUAGAGCUUGGAGAGGAGCUAGUGGCUGCGGAGAUCUUCAACAUCGCUUGGAUUGGAGCUAAGUUUGGAGCUUCUUGAGAAGUUAGAGACUUGAUUUCUCCCUUUGAUCCUUGAUUUGAGGUUUUUGUAAGAUGAAACCCUAGAAUGAGGUUUUAGGGCUUAAAUUGGGCAUUUUGAAUCUAGGGCUCUUGGAGCUAGUUUGAGUGGAUUAGAGGCUUUCAUUUGGUUGGAUUGGAAGGAUUCUAACUCCCUUUUGAAGCCUUAGAGGGGAUUUUUGCACUAGAGGUGAGUUUUCCUCACCUAUGCUUGAUUAGCUUAAUGAUUGAGCUAGGUAUUGUUCGUUUGGCUCGUAUGACACAUGUUUCUAUACCUCUAGGGUACUAGGAGACUAGAGGACACCCUCGUGGGAGCGAACGAGGAGUUUCGUUGUCAUCGGUGGGUUUGACUUCGUGGAAAUGGGGCGAAAUGGCCCCUAUGCUCUUUGCACUUGUUGUAAAAUAUUUUUAAAUUCAUUUCUAUGCUAAAUAUGAUUUAUGUGAGUUUUAGAACACUUAACAUGCAUGCCUCAUAUAUCGUAAAAUUUGUACUCCAUAUAGUAGAGCUAUAUGUGUAGAUUGCAUGCAUUGUGGAUAGUGCUUGGUUUUGCAAGUUGAGAACAUGUCUCCAUGCUAGAGUUGAGUGAAUUAUGCAUCAUGAACAUAUUAAUGCCAUGCUUGGAACUCGUUGAACAAAAGUGUCAUUAAGGGGCACUUGGAACUAGCAAACUGUUAAACUGCAACAUAGAGACAUAUUGAUAGGCCACUACGUAUCUGCUAUAUUCCAUGUUAGAGACAUGAUGACAUAGAGAUAGGCCAUUGAGAUACUUGAUAUAUUCCAUGUUGUUAGACAUGAGGACUUGGUUCUUGAGACGGAUCAUUGCUUGCUUGCCAUUGUGCUCAUUCGCACAUGCUUGUGAGGGUCGCUCCCUACAAGCCGGCACUCCGGAGAUAGCCAUCGCGACAUAUGCUCGCCCGUGCGGGAUUGGGCGCCGAAGUGGAUUGCCGUGGGGGAGGCUCAUCCCUAGAGUGGGGAUGUUGACUACCACGGGGCCAUUAGGCACGGCGCAGGCCAGACAGCCUUCGGGUGGGUCUUAUAUGAUUGGGACUUGGUGACAGAACAUGCUAUGUGAACUUUAUAACUGUUAAAGUGGACUUGGACUAGAAUAGUAAACAAUGACAUCUUUACUAUUACAUUGUGGACUUUGGGUAGUUGCAUAAUCAUGCUUUAUAUGUUGGGUGUUCAUGUGCAUAUAGCUAGUAGUUGCUUCCUUACUUAUGUAAAUUAUGCUAAGUAGAGGUAUCAUGAUUAUUGGGUACUCGUUUAUUUAUUUACUUACAGUGCAUUUAUCGCUUUUGUUAUAAUGUACACUGACCCUUUUUCUAUAGUUUCGGGCCUAGUGGUGCAUUUCACUGAAGUCAGUAAUUGCCCACUGGGAACUAUUAUUUAAUAGUUCUCACGCCCCUGUUUCUAUGUUUCCUUUUCAGAGCUUUCGGCACCGGCGGAGGCACGGGAUCGCAGCAAGGGUGUCGCGUAGCUAGCUCGCGGAGAGUUCUUUUGCGCUAGGUGGUUACUCCUCCAUUUUAUAUUUUGAGAGGGAGAGGUUUUGUACCAUGUAUAGAGAGACCACCUUGUACUCCUUUUAGCACUUGUUAUGGGAUCCCUAUUGUACUUACUUUAUGUUUUUAUUUAGUGGACUUUCAGCUUUAUGUCCUUUCCUUGUUAUAGAACUAGUUAUACAAUGCUCUGAUAUCACUAGAUCUCUUGUAUUAUCGUUUUAUCUAUCGAAAUUUUGUAGACGCCUUAUAUGUUUUAGACGUAUGGCGGGUCUGGACACGCGCCGGGUAGGCUUCCGCUGAGCCCCGGGGCGUGACAUACACUUCGGAAAGGCCGAAAAGGCCGAAGGCGUCAAACAAUGCAAAAAUGCAUUACUAGGGAUCUUCGAGAGCUCUGGAAUCAAAAUCUGCAAAACUGCAAGUUUUGUGCUUCGGGUACCGGUCCCUGGUGGGAGAGACCGGUCCCCGAACGCGUAGGCAGCGAAUGGCCGAAAAAUCGGCUAAGUCCUGGAAAACCAGCUCUCGGGAACCGGUCCUUGCGAGGAGAGACCGGUCCCCAGAGACCGGUUCUAUUGAGGGAGUGUAAUACACUGAAUUUUUACAAAUUACGAAAUUCGAGUGUGAGGAACGAUAUGUGGAUCUAUCCUACAUGUUCUAAAUGGCUUGGACAAGUUUUUGGACGAGUUAGAGUGUGAUUGGAGGGUUAAAAAUAAGAAAGUGCAUUGAACUGGCGAAAUCAGCCUUUUUCUACUUGCUGUACCGGUACAGCCAUCACCUUGUACUAGUACAGACUGGCAGAAACGUGGCAGCAAGGGUAUUUCUGUAAUUUCACACUUGAUACCUAUCCACUUGACCCCAGCUCGACCAGGAAUGCUCAGUGGAGGAUGCUAGAGCUCUGGAGCUUGUUCUUCCACCUUCUCCACUCUCUCUCUCUAGGAUCUUUCUCUCUCUACAAGGGUUCGACGAAUUUGUUCGUUUUCGUCGCAUCGCGCGUUCUUCGCUGGUGGCGAGCGUCGCAGAGCCUACGUGGACGUGUGGGGGAGUGUUUUGGAAGAAUUUUCGCAGCCCUGGACCAGUGAGGUGCUGGUUGGAAGCUUGAGAAGGUAAACGACUCGAUUUUUUCGUUAUCGGCGCUCUAUUAGUCGAUUUGGGUAUUGAUUUCAGGUUUUUGCUUCCAACUGCUUUAAACUGAGAUUUCAGCAAUUAAAGAUGAAUUAAUUAGCUGUGAAUUAAUCUCCUUAGACCAGGGAUAAGCUUCUUUGAAGGUUAAUAGAGAUAAUUAGUUCAUUAUGAAGCUAGUUGGAGCUAUAUGAAGUUUAAUUGGAUAACUAAUGCAGUUUGGAAAUUGUUCUCUUCGCAGCAGGUUGUUGAACCAAAUUAAGCUUAAUUGGUGACUUUGGGGACUGAUUUAGAAGGUGUUCUAACCAAGGGUAAGCAGGAAUUUCAGCUAGAAAUUUAAUUCCGCAAGAAUUCGAUUGUAAUAGCUUAUAAUCGACUAUAUUGAUGCCGUUUCGAUGUUGUUCGCAGCGAGAGUGCGAUCGAGCCUUGGAUCGUUUUAGUUGACUUGGGAGAGCUCUUGGAGACUCUUCUUGAGGUAUUACACUAGCCAAAACAGGGAAUUAAGCUUCCAUUUUGUAUUAAUUGAGAAUUUUGCCGAACUUAGAAUCGAAGUGAUCGCUUCGGUGCGACUUUCGUGUUUUGUUUUCAGCUAGAUUGGGGCCUAGUGGAGCUGAGUUUUGGGACUUCUUACAAUUGGGUUGCGCUUAGUAAUAGGUGGGUUUGACCUAACCAGAGCAAGUGGAGCUCCCCUAUGUUCUAUAUGUAUUAUAGAAUUGAUACAGUUGUAUGCUUUUGUGAUUGAUAUAGAACUUGAGACGAGUCACUAUAUUAUAGUGUUGAUAUAUAAUUGAAUUGAAAUCUCUAUGAAGUAGAGAACCCUCAUGCAUAUAAGUCUUUAUAUACAUGUUUAAUUUAGUUGAGUGAUUAAUGGACAAGUUAUCAUGUUUCUAGAAAAUAGAAAACCGUGACAUCCUUAUGACACUUUCUUGACUCUAAAGUAGAGAAUGAUGACAUGCUUAUGAUUAUGUUUAUAGUGCCAUGAUCGUGAAAAGAUUCUAAUGCCAUAUGGAAAUUAGCAUUACUCUUGCAUGUUUAUUAAUCUAGUGGAUACUAGCUGUUAUCAAUACUUGUUAUAUUGAGAUUCCGAUCAAAGGAUCGAGAGCAAGAACAAUGCAAGUUGGAAAGUGAUGAUUGAGACAUAUUGAGCUUUAGAUUUGCUUGCUGCCAUUGUGCUCAUUCGCACACGCUUGUGAGGGUCGCUCCCUACAAGCCGGCACUCCGGAGUUGGCCUACGCGACAGUUGCUCGCCCGUGCGGGAUUGGGUGCCGAAGUGGAUUGCCGUGGGGAGUGUACACUACCACAGGGCCAUUAGGCAUGGCGCAAGUUGGACUACCUUGAGUAGAUCCCUGUGAAUGAAAGGAAAGUGCUAAAGAAAAUUGGACAGUAAUGAAUGAUUACCAGUUACAGUGUACAAUAGUUACUUACACAUUUAUGCUUAUGUUCAUGCUUAUAAUAGUUGCUAUGCUUCUAUUAUUCAGUUGAUUCAUUACUGUUGAGACUAUGAUUACAUGUUGCUUACAUGCUCAUUACCUGUUAG